rnacentral:lncRNA from 1 species
GACCCUUUGUGGGUGGUUGCUUCUUCGUGGACCCUUCGUGGGUGGAGCCCUCCGUGGACUCGUGCAACCGUUACCCUUCGUGGGUUGAAGUCUCCAUCAAUGUGGAUGUAGGAUAGCACCACCUAUCCGAACCACAGGAAAAACAUCCGUGUCUCCAAUUGCGUUUGAAUUCUCCAAACCCUUCCCUUUACAUUCUUGCAAGUUGCAUGCUUUAGUUUCUGCUGCCAAUAUACUCUUAGCAUGCUUGCUUGAAUUGUGUGAUUAUUGCUUGACUUGUCCUACAAUAGCUAAAAUCUGCCAAGAACUAAAAUUGGGAAAAGGUUAAGUUUUUAUUUGGUCAAGUAGUCUAAUCACCCCCCCCAUCUAGACAUACUUUCGAUCCUACAAGUGGUAUCAGAGGUUUGGUCUCCAUUUGCUUUGAUCUCCAUAGCUUUUGGUGGUCAUAGCCUUGGUUUCACAACCUAGGAGAGUAUGGCGUCUAGCGAGGGAAAUUAUCACCGUAGAGGUACUUACUUUGAUGGUACUAAUUUUGCUAGUUGGAAGCAUAAAAUGAAAAUGCAUAUUCUUGGACAUAACCCCGCCGUUUGGGCUAUUGUGCGUAUUGGUUUGCAAGGUGACUUCUUGGAUGGGAAAGAACCAAACCGUGAAGCUACCGCAGAUGAGUUGAAGAUGUUGCAAUAUAAUGCUCAGGCUUGUGAUAUUCUCUUCAACGGAUUGUGCCCCGAAGAAUUCAACAAAAUCAGCCGUCUUGAGAAUGCAAAGGAAAUUUGGGACACUUUGAUUGAUAUGCACGAAGGUACCGACUCCGUCAAGGAAUCCAAGUUGGAUGUGCUUCAAAGUCAACUUGACAAGUUCAAAAUGAAGGAUGGUGAAGGUGUCGCUGAAAUGUACUCUAGGCUUGCUCUCAUCACAAAUGAGAUUGCCGGCUUAGGAAGUGAAGAGAUGACCGAUAGAUUCAUCAUCAAGAAGAUUCUAAGAGCCUUGGAUGGAAAAUAUGAUACCGUGUGCACAUUGAUCCAAAUGAUGCCCAAUUACAAAGAUCUCAAGCCAACGGAGGUGAUUGGAAGAAUUGUUGCUCAUGAGAUGUCACUUAGGGAUAAAGAGGAACUUCACAACAAAUCAAGUGGUGCCUACAAAGCCUCAUGUGAAGCCCCUACAUCAUCAAGUGAGAAACAAAACUUCAAUGAAGAAUUGAGCUUAAUGGUGAAGAACUUCAACAAGUUCUACAAGAGUAGAAGCAAAGAUAGAAGCUUCAAGACAAGGUCCUACAAUGACAAAAGAUCUUCUAGUCGAGAGCGAAACUGCUAUAGUUGUGGAAGACCCGAACACUAUUCCAAUGAGUGUACGGCUCCCUACAAGAGAAGAGAAGAUACUCCAAAAAGAAGAAGCAAAGAAUCACCACCAAGAGAGAGAAGGAGUAGAGAUGAUCGUUAUGAACGAAGAUACUCACGGAGAAGCAAGGAUUCGGAAAGGAAGGAAAAAUCAUCAAGGAGCUACACAAAACGAAGACAUCAAGCUCAUGUUGGUGAAUGGGUAUCCGGCUCCGACUCCGACAGCCACUCCGAGAGAAGUUAUCACUCCGACUCCGAAGAUACUCAAGAUGAAGGUGUUGCCGGUCUAGCACUUGUGUCAACCAACUCCUACGACAUAUUUGACUCACCAAAUGAAGGAAUUGGAAGAUGCUUCAUGGCCAAAGGUCCUAAGGUAACACACCCCGAGUAUGUUGAUUUCAAUAGUGAUGAAGAUGACUUGUUAGGUGAUGAUUUGCUUGUUGACAACUCUAGUGAUGAAUACUAUGAUGAAACAUCAAUUAAUCAUGCUAAUCAAGAUAAAACGAAUGACAAUGAUAAGGAGAAGAUUGAGGCUCUAACUAAAGAACUAAACACUCUUAAGUUAGCUCAUGAAUCUAUCUUCGAAGAUCAUCGAGAACUUUUAAGAGCUCAUGAGAAAUUACGCUUUGAAAAGCUCAAUCUUGAGCAAGAGCAUGAGUUCUUAAAAGCAAUCAAUGAUGAUCUCCACAAGAAAAGUUCUCCUUACAUUGCCAAGCAUUUACUCUUAUCCACUUACAUGCCUCAAGUCAAGUCUAGUAACAAGAACAAGAAAGAUUCUUCCUCUAGCAGUAACAAUGAUCAUGCUAAAUCCAAUAUUGUUGCUUCUAGUAGUUCUCUUGAUUCCACUAAUGAUUCUCUUAGCCAAGUUACACUUGAGCAAGAAAAUAGCUUAUUGAAGGGAAUUAUAGAUAAAGGAGUGUACAAAAGCCUUGCCGGGAGUAAGCAAUUCGAGGAAAUUGUGCGCAAGCAAGGAAUGCACUGGAAGAAUCAAGGUGUUGGUUUUGAACGGAAGUUCAAUGCCAAUGGAGUUGAGUGGGAAGAAGAUCAAUACCCCAAGACAAAGUUUGUUCCUCAACAAGAAAAGUAUGAUACUUCUUUCAAGGGGACACAAGCUCAAAAUGAUCUUCCACCACAAGACUACAAGCAAAAAGGCAAGGACAAGCUUCAAGAGGAAAUUGAUGCAUUUGAAGAAGCUCCUAAGACCUUAGUCAAGUGGAUUCCCAAGACUACUUCAAGUUCCACUUCAUCAAGUACGACUACAACUCCAAGGAUUCCCAUCAAGAUGGUGUGGAUCCAAAAGAAGAAGAACUAGAGAGUUAUUGAGGGUGACUCCGCCAACAUACUUCACUCUUAUCAUUUUGGCAAGAACAAGUGCAAUCAACUUCCACAUCUUGCACUAGUUCAAGGAGUCACAAACCCUCUUGUUGGUAAGACAGGGGACAAGGUAACCUAAAAGUUUUCAUGGACAUCAUCUUGUGUGUGCAUCACUCUAUGUCUAUAGAUAUCCUUGUUUGUUCCUUGCGGGACUAACCCAUGUAGGUAUUGAAAGUGCAAUUCACUCAAAUGGAUAGCUCCAAGUGAUCUACAUAAACAUUGAGCAUCCACAUCUUCAACAUCUACAUGAAGUCAUCAUCGACAAAACCCGAGGUUAGUUCAUCCCUCUAUGGGGGGAUAUCACAUCUAGGGGGAGCUUUACUCUAAGACUUGAGCUAAAGCAACUCUAAAGAUGUGAACACAACAAUGCUUUAUGUAAAAGUGGUAACCCCACUUGAGCUUAAAUGAUGAGUAUGACCUAUGAUCAAGGUGUUCUCACUUGACUCCUAAGUCAAUAUACUCAUAUAUAGAUGACCUUGUCAUCGCAAAUUGCUUGGUAGAUGCUAGAAUUGAUUAUGCAUGCCUUGUCACAUAUUUCAUUUGCCAUCUUAUUGUGUGAGCAUGCUGGUUGCAUAUUUUACUCAUUCGAGGACAUCCACUUGUUGUUUUGAUUGUUCGGUUUUAUUUCCUUUUGCCAAGUGGAUGGACAAGAAUGCCUAAGAACCUCCUCUAGCUAUCUAUGCUUUUCUCGUCUCAAACUCUAUUCAUGCUACAUCACAAAAUUUGAUCAAGUCAGAUUCGAACCACUCUGUGUGAGGAGCGCUCGGAGUCCCCGAUUCGUCAUAGACUUAAACUUCCAAAACCUCUUUAUGAUUCUCGGUCUGACCGAUACCCCACUUUCGGUCCUACCGAGAUCAUUAAGUUGAUCUAUGUUUUCGAUCUCGGUGCAACCGAUUUGAACCUUUCGGUCACACCGAGUUGCAACAACUGUAUACAGUUUUGCAUCUCGGUGCCACCGAGUUGUUCCACUCAGUCACACCGACAGGGUCGGGCUAUAUAUAGUCACGAGCAAAAAUUUGGAAAUUUCUCCGAACCCCUUCGCCCGCGCGAUAGCCUGCUCUGCCAACUUGGUCUCCAGAUCGUCUCCUCGCCGCCAGCCGCCUCCAGUCGCUGGUCUCCGUCGCCGUCAACAGAAAUUCAACCCCGCCGUUGCCGCCGUAGCGAGUCUCCGCCGAACUAGGGUAUGGACUCGAUCUUUGUGCUAUUCCCCAAUCCGAUUCUUAGCACAUUGUGAUCAUCAUGAUUCUUGCCACGUUUGUUAAACUUCUAUCCAGUCAAUGAACUCGUAGAUUAGGUUUAAUUUGAAAAUUUUAGGGUUAGGUUUCCGCCAAAACCAUCUCGGACCCACCGAGUUGAAAAACUCGGUCCCACCGAUUUGGCUUAUGCCAUUGCACAAGUGAGACUCGGUCUGACCGAGAAUUACUUAUUGGUGUGACAGAUUUUGGAACUCUGUGAAACCCUAGCAGUCUCGGUGCCACCAAACUAUGACUCGGUCUUACCGAGUUCACUAGUUUAGGUGCCAAAAGUGCUUCGGUAUCACCGAGUUUAGAAAUCGGUAGAUCCGAGAUGCUUUCAGUGGGAAACUAAAACUAAGUUUUUGGAUCAUUCUUUUGCAAAAAUCUCUGCAUUUUGUGAUGCUCAUCUAUUCUACCUCAUCUAUAAACUAUUCACAGGGUCAGCAGUCAGCUUGUUCAUCAUGUCAAACCAAAGUGAUAGCCAGAACAUGUCAGAAGAGCAAGUGCAGAUGAGUGAGGGCACUAGUCCCUCCAGUUCUUCAGAUGAUGGUAGCAGAAGUACUCCUAGCAAUCUGCCUAAAGCUGCCACCAGACAGAGAAAGAAGAGAACUUCAGAUUCUGAGGAUGAAGAUUAUGUGGCAGAGGAAGAGGAAGCCACAUCAAAGAGAGUUGAGCCAGCACAGGGCACAAAGCCAGGCUUAAAGAUCAAAAGCCAGCAGGUAGGCAGCCUAUGCCAAAGGCCAGAGUUUCAACUCAGAUUCCUGAAAAGCCUGCACCCGUAGAGCCAGUUGCUGCUGAAGGCAAGAAAAGAAAGGAAAGGGUCAAGAAGACCGUAGCCAAAGUGCUUGGAAAGGCUUCCAUUAUGGAAGAUGAGGAUGAAGAAGAAGAGGUUGCUGCACCAGCACCUAAGGCACCCAAGCUGAUGGGUGAUGCCAUAAGAUCAGGGUCAACUGCUUCUAAGGCCAAGCCAGCUCCAAAGCCAAAGCCAAAGAGGAAUACAAGAAGCAUCCCAGCUGCUGAGAAGAACAAGGCCCCAGUGCCUGACAUUGCUGAAGAAGAAGAAGGUCAAGUUCUCAGAAAACUCAAGCCCAAGAUCCCAGACCACAAUGAUGCUCAUCUUGUGGCUGAGGACAUGAAGCUCAGAAGAGAUUCAGGGCUUAGGAAGUGGAGAGAAGCAGACCCGUAUGCUUCAAGGAGAAGAACUGCUGUGGAUUACAGGUUUCACACCAAGGAACAUCAAGAUUUCUAUGAGACAGUUUUGUUGGACAAGAAGCCAAUUGUAUGUGAUAUGAGAUGGGUCGACUGGGAAUACAUCAAGGAAAAUGAGGAACACUACCCUGGAGUGCAGGACAGCUUCAAGGCAUGUGGAGUAGAGGACUUUGUUGGGCAGGAGCUCACAAAGUGGAAUGAGGAGCUUAUCAUGCAGUUCUACUCCACAGCCCAUUUUUAUCCAGAUGGUAGGAUAACUUGGAUGUCUGAAGGUACGAGGUACCAAUCUACAGUUGCUGAAUGGGCUCAGCUGAUCAAUGCCCCAGAAGAGCAGGAAGAUGACUUGGAUGUAUAUGCCAAGAAGAAGAUGGACCACAACUCUAUGUCCAACAUGUAUAAGGAAAUUCCAAACGAGGCACUUGAUACUUUCAAGUUUGGGUCUGUGCAUUAUCUUCUGUCAGGGAUGCCAACCAUUAACUGGAUCCUUAGGCACACUCUGUUGCCCAAGUCAGGUGAUCACAAGAUGAUCAGAGGCCAUGCAAUCAAUUUGCUUCAUGUAUUUGACGUACCUCAGAAAUUCAAGGUCAUGAGCCUCAUGGUAGAGACCAUUAAGAGGACAACAGUUGAUCAGAAGAGGAGCUGUGGUUAUGCCCCUCAGAUCCAGGAGCUCAUUAACUCCAAGAUGGGCACAUGCAUAUACUUGUUGGACAAGGAACAUCUGCCCAUUCAUCCAGAUUUUGAAGAUAAUCAGGUUGUCAUGCAUGAGAAUGAACCAUCGUCCGUUCAAGCACAAGCAAAGAAGGAGAAGGCAAGGAAGGAGAAAGCUACCAAGAUGCCAACUCAAGAGGAGGCAUCUAAGUAUUUCCUGAAAACCAAACAAGAGCAGCUUGGUUACUUGAUUGCAUCCACCCCGCGGAUUGAGCAAGGAUUAGCUACCCUAACUCAGAACCAGGCAAGCUUAGAGAGGAUCAUGGAACAAAAGUUCUAUGACUUGGAUGUCAAAGUGACAGAGAUUCAGACUGCAGUGGAGCAGCUCCAGGAUGACAUGCUGGAGAGGAGAGGCAAGACUACAACUGAUGCCUUUUCCAGAGUGCCACGAGGUCCGAGGUCGUCUGCAAUGCCAGUUACUGACCCCAGAGCCACCACGUCUGCACCAGCUACAGCCUCAGUUCCACCAGCUCCAGCGUCCACUUUAGCCUCGACUCCGACCACGUCUACAGAAGGCUUCUUCCUUGGAGUGCUCCGGACUCCACCACCACCUGAAGAUCAAGCCUGAGUGUCGACUUAGCACUAUGCAUUUUCUAGGAACUUUUUGGUAACUUGUUGCCAAAGGGGGAGAAAAUGUAUAGAUCAUAGGCUUUGAGAGAGAGAGUGUUGCUUUUUCUCUCUUGCUUUAUUUGGUGGUUUUUCGAACUUUGUUUGCUUUUGAGUGCUUGAGAUACUAUGUCAUUGCUCGUGAGACAUUGAUGAUCAUGUGUUUGAUCAUAAGCUAUACUUAUGCAUGCUUGAUAUAUCUUAUCUAUCUUAUGUGAUCAUUCACUAUUCUUGGUGAUGAGUGCAUGUAUUUCAUUCUUAUCAUUUUAAGCGCUCCACCAAGAUGUAUGUGACAUGGAAGAGUAACCCAUGACUCUAACUCUUUGUGCAUUUGCAGUCCAAAGAAAAUUUUUAAAUAUGCACAAAUUUAGGGGGAGCUCUCACUUGUCACAUACUUCUCAAAGCGACGAUAUAUUUCAUGCUUAUUAUCAUUUGUCGAAGCUUUGAUCUAUAUGUUGUCAUCAAUUACCAAAAAGGGGGAGAUUGAAAGUGCAACUAUCCCUAGGUGGUUUUGGUAAUUCAUAACAACAUAUAGCUCAUUGAGCUAAUGCUAUUCCAAGAUGACUAUUUCAGGAAAGCUCAAUGAUUGGCAUGGCAUGGAUGUGAAAGUGGAACCCUCAAAAUGCUAAGGACAAAGGAUUGGCUCAAGCUCAAAAGCUCAAGACUCUUCAUUUUAUAUUUUAGUGAUCCAAGAUCACAUUGAGUCUUUAGGAAAAGCCAAUACUAUCAAGGAGGGAUGAGGUGUUGCUUAAUGAGCCUCUUGCUUGAUGUGCUUAGUGAUAUGCUCCAAAACCCUCAACUACUUUCCCAUAUCCACAUAUGACCUAAACCCUAAGCCAAACUCGGUCCUACCGAUUCUUUCUAUCCAGCACCACCGAGUUUCAUUUGUCAUAAGCCACUGCCAAACCCUAGCAAUUCGGUUCUACCGAUAGGGAUCUCGGUCUCACCGAGAUGGGAAUGCAAACUCUCUGUUUCCCUUUCGUAACUUUUCGGUCUCACCGAAAGAGCGAAUCGGUCCCACCGAGAUUGCAAUGUAA